CAGAUCUUCCAGUCCCUGCCAGUUGACGUCCUCGUCCGUCAGGUUGGGCAAUUUAACCCUGUCGUCCGUCCCAUAGUGCGCUGAAGAAGAAAUCAGAAGACAUUUAAGAAUCCACACGACGCUUUUUUGUUGCAUUUUUGAUUAAGCUCCAGCGUCAUGCAUUCGGUUAAGCAGUGCAAACGCAUGCCGCCGAGCAGAAAAUCUUUCAGUGCCGCACUUGAAAAGUGAAAAGUAGGCGCCGACGGCAACCUGCAAUUCAAACCCAAACUAAAAAAGCUAAAGAAAUAAAAAUCAGCAAAUAAAGCAGCAGAAGCCAAGAUAGAAAGCAAAGUCAAAUUACAGCCUCCUGUAAAAAAAAGAAUAAACUAAUGACAGUGUAUGAUCUAUGUUUGUGUUGUCAUGAGACUGGACUGGUCGACUCACAGGAAGGAAAGGAUUGGUCUCCUCUUUGAGCGCUUUCGGUGCUGCUGUCGCCUGGUAAGCAGAGUUAAAGCUGCGAAAGAGGAUUUUUUCCAAAAGGACACAAGAAAACGGAGCGCUGCUACCAAACGGAAACUGCCAAGUCCACAAUUUUAAGGCAUUGAAGUGUCAAAGUGUUUUUGUCUGCCUCGACCUCAGCUUGGCAGCGUCCCCGCCGCAGCGGUCGCCACAAGACCUGGCGAAGGCUCAUCUCGGGCCCGUGCCAACCAAACAACCCCCCUUAGUCUCACUGCCUUUGCCAGCUUGGGCUUCACACUUCAGCCACAGACAGAGUGACGGCGGCAAACGAGCAGCUGAACAACCUGCGCUUUUUUGCGGCGGCAUGAUGCCAAAGGAAGCUCACCUGAAAGAAUGCAGCGGAUCAUCACGACAAACUCAACUGAACUCGCCCAGAAAGAACUCAGAACUUGUGCAACACAACAUGCCUCAGCAGCUGAACAUGAAAAGUGAAAGUAAAAAGUCCUCUUUCACUCCGUCACGUCAGCCACGCGCUGUGUUCAGGGUAAGACUCCGGGUGUCAUCCUCGACAGCACGCUCUCCUUCUGCUCCCAUAUCAACGACAUCACCAGAUUGGCC